AUUCCAUUUUUGCAGAAUGUUAGAGCCAGGAAGCAUGGAAAGAGCUUUCAUCUCAGUCCUGAAGGGUCCCCCUGGAAAUCAAAUCGAGCUUGACUUCUGAGUAAGAGAUGUGACCAGCACAAGAGAACAAGGCCAAGUGCUGAAACACACAGUGACAUCUGAUGGUUUGUUGACCUGAUUCACCCGUCCCAUUUGGAUAACGCCUGUGGUGGCUGACAGCUGAAAAAAGUCUCCACGAAGAAUCUUGUCCUGAAGUCUCAACUGAGCGCUUUCUGGAAACAGCUUGACGUUUCUAAUGUGAAAAAAAUAAUAACUCUGUCGCCUGGUGCUUGGAAAUGUAUAGGCCGGAAGUGAGGAGCAGAAGACAACGAGUAUCUUCACAGCCCCGACAGAGUGGACUUCCGGGGACUUCAGACCACUCACAGAGUGUGGGUACCAACACUUCAGCAAACAAAUUAAGCCAUCGCAGCAAAGGGAAGGCAAGCUCUGAAUCAUGGAUGAAGGUCUAUUUGGAUCUCCUUGCCCUCUGUGGCAGCCCCCAUUUCCCAGCAGGGGGGAAUGGCACAGUGCAUGAUGGGUCUGAUCAUUCCCCGCCCGCCCCCCUCCUCCUCCACCUCCUCCAUGUCAUCAUUGUCAGCGGUGAUCUCAGAAUAAUCUCCCAGGAGCCAACAUGUACUUGUAGCCCUUGUCCCCAGGGGUCCAAAUGACUAAACUUCCAUUAUAGCUCCAGAAGCAUGCAUAAUCUUUACUACACAAAAGGGCAUGCCAUUAAAGUCCUCUGCCCCUAGGGAAUUGAUUAGUGUGCCACCCAUCCCACCUCCAAUAUGACUUUCUUCAGAGGGUCAUGAGAACGCGUCCACAUCAGGACUCCUGAACUCCAAUCUGAGUCUUGUAAUACUCCUACCAAUUAGCAUAUGGAGUCCUCCCUCUUGGUUACAAUUUUGAAAUUGCUGGCUAGACUCCUACGGCCACACAUAAAUUGGCUUAGUUCUGGAGGCUAUUUCACAUGUGGGGUUGGCUUUUAUUUGUUUGGAUUAAACCAUUAGAUUUUUCAAGUCUAUGUAGAGUACUGUUUCUGAAUUUGAUUCUUCUUUCUUCUUCUAUCUUUAAAGUAUAUUCUCAAGGCACCUGGGUGGCUCAGUCGGUUAAGCAUCCAACUUUUGAUUUCAUCUCAGGUUAUGAUCUCACAUUCUUGAGAUCGAGCCCCACAUCAGUCUCUUCACUGACAGUAUGGAGACUGCUUGGGAUUCUCCAUCUCUCCCUCUCUCUCUCUGCCCCUUCCCUACUUGCUCUCUCUCUCUCUCUCUCUCUCUCUCUCUCAAAAUAAUUAAAUAAACAUUUUUUAAAAAUAACUAAAGUACA
rnacentral:lncRNA from 1 species